CCUUAGAGUUUGAUCCUGGCUCAGGACGAACGCUGGUGGCGUGCUUAACACAUGCAAGUCGAACGGAGCGCCUAUGAAGGAGAUUUCGGUCAACGGAAUAGGUUGCUUAGUGGCGGACGGGUGAGUAACGCGUGAGGAACCUGCCUUUCAGAGGGGGACAACAGUUGGAAACGACUGCUAAUACCGCAUAACACAUAGGUGCCGCAUGGCAUUUAUGUCAAAGAUUUAUCGCUGAAAGAUGGCCUCGCGUCUGAUUAGCUAGUUGGUGAGGUAACGGCUCACCAAGGCGACGAUCAGUAGCCGGACUGAGAGGUUGGCCGGCCACAUUGGGACUGAGAUACGGCCCAGACUCCUACGGGAGGCAGCAGUGGGGAAUAUUGGGCAAUGGGCGCAAGCCUGACCCAGCAACGCCGCGUGAAGGAAGAAGGCUUUCGGGUUGUAAACUUCUUUUGACAGGGAAGAGUAGAAGACGGUACCUGUCGAAUAAGCCACGGCUAACUACGUGCCAGCAGCCGCGGUAAUACGUAGGUGGCAAGCGUUGUCCGGAUUUACUGGGUGUAAAGGGCGUGUAGCCGGGUUGACAAGUCAGAUGUGAAAUCCUGCGGCUUAACCGCAGAACUGCAUUUGAAACUGUUGAUCUUGAGUACUGGAGAGGCAGACGGAAUUCCUAGUGUAGCGGUGAAAUGCGUAGAUAUUAGGAGGAACACCAGUGGCGAAGGCGGUCUGCUGGACAGCAACUGACGGUGAGGCGCGAAAGCGUGGGGAGCAAACAGGAUUAGAUACCCUGGUAGUCCACGCUGUAAACGAUGGAUACUAGGUGGGCGGGGACUGAACCCCUUGCGUGCCGCAGCUAACGCAAUUAAGUAUUCCCACCUGGGGAGUACCAUUCGCAAGGUUGAAAAACUCAAAAGAAUUUGACGGGGGCCCGCUCAAGCGGUGGAUUAUGUGGUUUAGUUUGAUGCAACGCGAAGAACCUUACCAGGGCUUGACAUCCUACUAAACGAAGUAGAGAUACAUUAGGUACCCUUCGGGGGAAGUAGAGACAGGUGGUGCAUGGUUGUCGUCAGCUCGUGUCGUGAGAUGUUGGGUUAAGUCCCGCAACGAGCGCAACCCUUGUCAUUAGUUGCCAUCAUUAAGUUGGGCACUCUAAUGAGACUGCCGGUGACAAACCGGAGGAAGGUGGGGAUGACGUCAAGUCAUCAUGCCCCUUAUGACCUGGGCUACACACGUGCUACAAUGGACGGUACAACGAGAAGCGAACCUGCGAAGGCAAGCGGAUCUCUUAAAGCUGUUCUCAGUUCGGACUGUAGGCUGCAACUCGCCUACACGAAGCUGGAAUCGCUAGUAAUCGCGGAUCAGCACGCCGCGGUGAAUACGUUCCCGGGCCUUGCACUCACCGCCCGUCA
rnacentral:rRNA from 1 species